UUUAAACGAUUAAUAACUCAUAAAUAAUUAUUAAUUUUUAGCAAGAAAAGUGUAUUUUUUCAUUAAAUACUCAGCACUGCCAUAAUUCUGAAUUGAUACCUGUAGCUAAUAAUCUUAUACUUCUAACAUAUAGUACCUACCUAAUAUGUAUCUAAUUAAGAAGACAAUUUGAACAUGGUGAAUGAAUAAUUCUGCUUUAUUUUGAGAUGGACAAUACAUACAUAUUAUAACAAGAACCUAUGACUAGUAGGACUUUGAUUGAAACUGAAAAAAAAUAUGUACCUCAUCUACAAAUUAGUAUUGUAAUAAUACUUAUUGUUCAAUUGAAAAAUGUGCCUGAACUACCCUUAUGAAACCAGCUUAACCAAGAAGAGCUAAAUUAUUUUAUUAUUAUAAGUAAUAUUUCUGAAAAUGAUCUUGUAGAGAGGGAUAAAUUACAAAUUUAGUAUAGUAAUAUAUGUAGUAUGUAUAUAUUUAUUAUUUAUUUCAUAUUUAUCAUUCUACCCUAACCUAACACAAAUUAAUUUUUUUUUAACAUAAAAUUUUAUUAAAGUGUUUCAGUUAUAACAAUUAGAAAUUAAAGCUCUAUGGAAGUCAAUUUAACUUAUUUUUAAGAUUCUUGGGGGUUAGAAAUGUAACAAAAUAAAAAUAGUUAACGUAAAAAAAUUGAUAAUUUUUAUUAACUAAAUUAAUAAACAGUUAUGACCAUAAUGAAUUUUUUGUAGUUGUAUAGCAUAUCAUUUAAAUAUUUUUCUAUUACUAGAAUGUCUUCAAUAUUAGGCUUCUUAUGUUAAUUAUAGAAUAAUGAGGCAAAAUUCAUCUGUUCUAAAUUAAUCCUGUAAAACUUUGUUCAUAAUUUUGGUUUCUAUUUUCUGUUCAAGGCUGUAGUGCAAAACUAUAUAUUAUAUUAAACAUUUAUCAUUUUCCACUGAUUCCACAAUUAGUAUUUGAUUAAUGCAAACCAUUUGUUUUUAUUAUUCCCAGUUAUUCUUUAAAUAUCCUUCGGCAAUUAUUGGCAUAUCUAAAAAGAAAGCA